rnacentral:lncRNA from 1 species
UAAUUGUGUUGUGAUAUUGUUGUGCUUUGCUUGUGUGGAAUUGGGAUGAAGUGGGUCACCAUGGGUUUGUGAGGACGGUCGAUAAAGCUUGGAUCCUGAUUAUGAUGAAUUGUGAAACUGGACCGUCGGCCGGGUAAAUGGGAGAUCGGCGCCCCCGUGUGCACCUACUGUUACCGUUACUAUUAACCACAGGUUGGCUUCUUUAUUUGGGCGUACCGGAUAAUCUAGGUUUGAUCGCAGCCCGCA